rnacentral:misc_RNA from 1 species
GUGUGGUUCUAGUAGCUAAGAGGUCAAAUUAUGUGAUUUUGGCUUUGUUUGUGGCAGCUGUAUAUGGGAGUUGGUUUGUAUAUGAACAGCAGUACCUCAAUCUGCCUACACCACUUGGAGCUCAACAUGUUGGUAAAAGGGGUUUUUCUGAGCAUGAAGCUAUUCAGCAUGUUAUAGCCUUAACUCAAUUCGGUCCACAUCCUGUUGGUUCACCUGCACUUAAUCAUGCCUUGCAGUAUGUGUUGCAAGCCGCAGAAAAUAUUAAGGAAACAGCUCAUUGGGAAGUUGAUGUAGAAUUAGAUCUUUUUCAUGCUAAAUCUGGUGCUAACCAUAUGGUUGGUGGACUUUUCAAAGGGAAAACUCUGGUUUAUUCUGAUCUCAAUCAUAUUGUAUUAAGGAUUUCGCCAAAAUAUGCUCCUGAAGCAACAGAAAAUGCUAUUCUUGUAUCUUCCCACAUUGAUACUGUGUUUUCCGCUGAAGGGGCUGGAGAUUGCAGCUCAUGUGUAGCUGUUAUGUUGGAACUUGCUCGAGGAGUGUCUCAAUGGGCUCAUGGGUUCAAAAAUGCCGUAAUUUUUUUGUUUAACACAGGAGAGGAGGAGGGCUUAAAUGGUGCUCACAGUUUUAUAACUCAGCACCCUUGGAGUGACACUUUAACAAUGGCUAUUGACUUGGAGGCCAUGGGUGUUGGAGGGAAGUCGG